rnacentral:rRNA from 1 species
AACGGGUGAGUAACGCGUAAACAACCUGCCCAACGGAUGGGGACAACAGACGGAAACGACUGCUAAUACCCAAUAGACUCCGGUUUCGCAUGAAACCGACAGGAAAGGUGGCCUCUCGAGGAAGCUACCGCCGCAGGAGGGGUUUGCGUUUGAUUAGUUAGUUGGUGGGGUAACGGCCUACCAAGACGAUGAUCAAUAGCCGGUCUGAGAGGAUGAACGGCCACACUGGAACUGAGACACGGUCCAGACUCCUACGGGAGGCAGCAGUGGGGAAUCUUCCGCAAUGGACGAAAGUCUGACGGAGCAACGCCGCGUGAGUGAAGAAGGCCUUCGGGUUGUAAAGCUCUGUUAUUCGGGAAGAACGAUUCGUUUGUGAACAAUGAACGGAAGUGACGGUACCGAAAGAGAAAGCCACGGCUAACUACGUGCCAGCAGCCGCGGUAAUACGUAGGUGGCAAGCGUUGUCCGGAAUUAUUGGGCGUAAAGAGCGCGUAGGCGGUAUGAUAAGUCUGUCUUAGAAGUGCGGGGCUUAACCCCGUGAGGGGACAGAGACUGUCAUACUAGAGUCUCGGAGAGGAGAGCGGAAUUCCUAGUGUAGCGGUGAAAUGCGUAGAGAUUAGGAAGAACACCGGUGGCGAAGGCGGCUUUCUGGACGAGCACUGACGCUGAGGCGCGAAAGCGUGGGGAGCGAACAGGAUUAGAUACCCUGGUAG